GUUGCAGGUCUACUGGCAUCAACAGUCUGUCUAUAGGGAAAGGCAAUCAAGGGCACACAUGGUCCACUUGUGUUUAGGGGAUCAUGGUAUCAAGAGAAUUAAAGUGUUAAUGUGGCUCAGGUGAUUGAGGGCAAGUAUCCAAGAGGUGUACAGAGGAGAAUCACAAGGUACUAUUCAUGAUCAGAAAGUUUUUACCAAUCUUUGAGCACUGACAAAAGUGGAGAUGCUGUGAAAGGAAUGGAAUAUGAUAUUCCAGAAAGCAAGGGAACUAGAUCUACAACCAAGAAUCAACUACUCAGCAAAACUGACUAUAUUGUUACAGGGGAAAGUAUGGUCAUUCAACAAAAGAGAAGAAUUCCAAGAAUUUGUAAAGAAAAGACCAAACCUGAAUAGAAAAUUUGAUGCCCAAGCACAGAACUCAAGAGAAUCAUCAAAAGGCCACUCCACUCUCACCCUGACAUGGAAAGCUGUUGAUCUGCCACCCCCAAGAACUGACCUGAGAUGAUUAAGAGACCAUACGAUCAUACAUAGGACUCCUUGUUCAUCACUGAUACCACAUGGAAUUUCUGGACAAAUGUAUGCUUAGGAGACAAUAGGUAAGUAAGGAGAAACAAUAGGUAUUUGUAGGCCAAUGGGUACAGAAAAAAUUCU
rnacentral:lncRNA from 1 species